UACGGAGGGUGCAAGCGUUAUCCGGAUUCACUGGGUUUAAAGGGUGCGUAGGUGGGUUGGUAAGUCAGUGGUGAAAUCCCCCGAGCUUAACUUGGGAACUGCCAUUGAUACUAUCAGUCUUGAAUAUUGUGGAGGUUAGCGGAAUAUGUCAUGUAGCGGUGAAAUGCUUAGAUAUGACAUAGAACACCAAUUGCGAAGGCAGCUGGCUACGCAUAUAUUGACACUGAGGCACGAAAGCGUGGGGAGU
rnacentral:rRNA from 1 species